rnacentral:rRNA from 1 species
UCAACGGAGAGUUUGAUCCUGGCUCAGGACGAACGCUGGCGGCGUGCUUAACACAUGCAAGUCGAACGAUGAAGCCCAGCUUGCUGGGUGGAUUAGUGGCGAACGGGUGAGUAACACGUGGGUGAUCUGCCCUGCACUUCGGGAUAAGCCUGGGAAACUGGGUCUAAUACCGGAUAGGACCUCGGGAUGCAUGUUCCGGGGUGGAAAGGU